UCAGGCUCCUCCUUCUAAUCCACCAACUUAGUGUUGAUGAAGACUAAACAGAGAGAUCACAGCUUCUUUAUACUUGCUGUAGCUCACAGUUACUCUACACUGCAGAUAUGACGCCUCUGUUCAUCUCAGUGCUGCUGGCUGCUAUGUGCCUCGAAUGCAGAGCACAAAAAGACAACGUGCUGCAAGCAAAAGGAGAAGAGACUGCUGCUGAAGGAGGCACAGUAACACUUCACUGUCUCUAUAACAGCAGCACAACAGCUCCUUCUCUCUUCUGGUACAAACAGGAUGGAAAGAACAGCCCCAAAUUCAUCCUGAGUCGUGUUAGUGGGGACCAAGGAGACACAGCAGAUGAGUUCAAGGAGAGAUUUUCAUCCACACUGGAUUCCAGCAUCAGAUCAGUUCCUCUGAAGAUCGAGAAGCUUCAGCUGUCUGACUCUGCUGUGUACUACUGUGCUCUGCAGCCCACAGUGACAGGAAACACCAAAACUCUGUACAAAAACCUUUGGAGCAAAGACAACAGAAUACUCCACAACAUCCACUAGAGGGAGCCACACACUGUUAAACCUCUGAUUCUUGUGUCAUUGGACUGAUGACAA